rnacentral:rRNA from 1 species
CCUACGGGAGGCAGCAGUGGGGAAUAUUGGACAAUGGGCGCGAGCCUGAUCCAGCCAUGCCGCGUGUGUGAAGAAGGCCUUCGGGUUGUAAAGCACUUUUAUCCGGAAAGAAAAGCUUUGGGUUAAUACCCUGAAGUCAUGACGGUACCGGAAGAAUAAGCACCGGCUAACUUCGUGCCAGCAGCCGCGGUAAUACGAAGGGUGCAAGCGUUACUCGGAAUUACUGGGCGUAAAGCGUGCGUAGGUGGUUUGUUAAGUCUGAUGUGAAAGCCCUAGGCUCAACCUGGGAAUUGCAUUGGAUACUGGCAGGCUAGAGUGCGGUAGAGGAUAGUGGAAUUCCCGGUGUAGCAGUGAAAUGCGUAGAGAUCGGGAGGAACAUCUGUGGCGAAGGCGACUAUCUGGGCCAGCACUGACACUGAGGCACGGAAGCGUGGGGAGCAAACAGGAUUAGAUACCCUGGUAGUCCACGCCCUAAACGAUGCGAACUGGAUGUUGGGUGCAACUAGGCACUCAGUAUCGAAGCUAACGCGUUAAGUUCGCCGCCUGGGGAGUACGGUCGCAAGCUGAAACUCAAAGGAUUGACGG